rnacentral:sRNA from 1 species
AUUUAACUUGAAAACAUUUUAAAAAAUUUUAUAGAGAUGGGGUCUUGGUAUGUAGCCCAGGUUGGUCUCGAUCUCCUGAGUUCAAGUGAUUCUCCUACUUUGGCCUCCAAAGUUCUAGGAUUCCAGGUGUGGUCACCGUGUCCUGCCACCAAAGCCUCCUGAGGGCUGUCCUGGUGUGAUUAGAGGGCUCUGAGAAGGGCCAGCUGUGUCAUCUGUGCUUUUCCUUUGUCCUGUUACCUGCCCUUGCACUGGGCCGUUAGGGCACUGAGAUCAUCCCUCUCCAUCCUGUCAUGCUGUGCUGUCAUCUUUAGUCAAGCCAGAGGAUAUGGUGCCUCGCUGUGUUUCACACACAGCUGUUCCCAUUGGCUUCAAGUGGGCCUGUUUUAAGGCUUUGUGUGAGGUAUGUGGGAAGUGGGUUUCACUUUCAAGAAGGCAGCAUGGAGCUGGGGCUUGGCCUCUGCUGUCUGGUAUAGACGAGCCUGGGGAUCAGAUGUAGCUGCAGACAUGGCUGGGCACAGAGGGAGUGGCCUCAUUUCCCAGCCACCUACUCCUGCCGUGCCUCACUCGCCUGGGAAUGUGAUGUGUAGGUCUUGAGAAGAAGACCCAGGUCCUGCAGCCUGGUGAAAAGACAACUGUGGCCUACCACGAGGCCGGACACGCGGUGGUGGGCUGGUUCCUGGAGCACGUGGAGCCCCCUGCUGAAGGUUGGUCUUCCCACCCUGAGUGAGUCCACCUGGCAGGCUUGGGCCUGGUAUCUCUGGGCCAACCUGUGGUCAUGUGGGCAUGGUACAUUCAAGGGUUGGCCCUUUAGCUUUUUAAGGAAUAUACUGUUGUAGAAUUUGUAAAAAGAUCCCUUUAGGGUGGGAAAGCAGGGCAGUGGGUUCCAAAUGGGGCCUCGGCUAUGCGACUCCAGGGAGCAGCCUCAGUGUUAAACCCGCCUCACUCCUGAGCUCUGGAUUCGACUGUUGGCCUCUCCAGAGCCUCUGCAGGGCGGGCAGAGCGGAGGUGGUUUCCACGUGAAGCUCCCAAAGGUGGGUGCACUUCUUGGGGCAUCCCCAUGGUGUACGGGGGGCCUGGGUCAGGCUCUCUUCUCUCUUGUUCCAGUAGAAGGACCUGUGGUCAGAGCUAGGGUCGGGUGGCCUGGCCGCUCCAGGGUGGCUCCUGGAGGAAGUGGGGACAGUGUUUGGGGUGGUGAGGGCAUGUGUCCUGUCCUCAGGUGUCCAUCAUCCCCCGGGGCAAGGGGCUCGGCUACGCACAGUACCUGCCCCGGGAGCAGCAGCUCUACACCCAGCAGCAGCUCUUCGACCGCAUGUGCAUGAUGCUUGGGGGCCGGGUGGCUGAGCAGCUAUGCUUCGGGCAGAUCACUACGGGGGCUCAGGAUGACCUGAGGAAGGUCACCCAGAGCGCCUACGCCCAGGUAAGGGUGGGCAUCCCCCCGCACGGGCUGCAGGAGGCUAUGUUGGGCGCAGGCUCAUCCCGGGUUCCGCACUUGCAGAUUGUGCAGUUUGGGAUGAGUGAGAAGCUGGGCCAGGUGUCCUUCGACUUUCCCCGACAAGGCAAGGCCCUGGUGGAGAAGCCGUACAGCGAGGCAACCGCCCAGCUCAUUGAUGAGGAGGUCCGGCACCUCGUCAGUGCCGCCUACAAGCACACCCUGGACCUGCUGACACAGUGCCGGGAGCAUGUGGAGAAGGUGGGCCAGCGGCUCCUGGAGAAGGAAGUGCUGGAGAAGGCAGACAUGGAGCUGCUGGGCCCCCGGCCAUUCGCGGAGGAGUCUACCUAUGAGGAGUUUGUGGAGGGCAUGGGCAGCCUGGAGGAGGACACAUCCCUACCCGAGGGGCUGAAGGGUUGGAACCGGGGACAGGAGGAGGAAGAUGUGGAGCAGCGUGUGCGGGGGGCUCUGCAUAGCCUGGGGCCUUUGCAAAGCAGCUGCAGAAACUCACCCAAAACAAAUUAAAACGUGACAACUGUGAAUGGGCGUUUUAGAUUAGGGUGCUCUGAGCCCACAUGCAGGGAGUGGGAGUGGGAGUGGGCAGAGGGGGUACCCUGAGUCCCUGGGCCCUCCUGCUGGAGGACAGUCGGGUCCAGGGUUAGACGGGAGAGGCCCCAGGGCUCUGGCCCCUGCGGUGCUGAGGAAGGCACGACUGUAGCUUCAAGAGGGGCUUGCGUGGGGCACCUUGGAGACACCAGGCCUUCCUGGGACCUCCGUGGAGGAGUGUUGGUGUGGUCAUAAAGUCACUCAGAGGAGCCUGGGCCCAGCACAGAAACCCUCACCGUUUGGUAGAAUUCAGAAAAGGAGAACGUCAGCCGGGUAUCAAGGGAAAGUCAGGUUUCUAAAGCAGCUGUUUGGAUCGGUAGAAGCCGAUCUGCUGAUCUGUCUUUAAAAAGGAAAGUCCACACCACCCACAGGUGCAUGGCUGAGGGAGGAGGUGGAGCUGUGGGGCCUCACACCUGGGUUCCCCAUCAGGGGCGGCCCCCUUACCCCCGCCUGCGCCUUGGCUCCGUGGCAGCACUGCUGAGUGUGAGGGAAUUGAGUUGCUUAAAAAACCUGGUCCCUGUCCUUGGCUGGAGGUGCUUUCACUGCAGGAUGUGUCUGGAUCAUCAGUUCUGUUCCUGUGACCCCUUUUUGUUGGAGUCUUGGAGGGGGAAGCUCUGCAGGGCCCCAGCCGGCUCAGGGGUAUUUGUGGAGAGGCCGUGGUCCUGAAGCCCCAGCACGAGGCUGCCUCUGGCCCAGGUACCUGUUCGUGAACCCUUUUCCUGGGGUUGGGUAGCUCCUAAUUUUUAUUAGGAAGGCCCCUUCUGGGCUCUGAGCUCCAGGCCCUUUGGCGCCUUGAACUGACGGAGGCUUUGCUUUUUCUUCUCUGGGAUGUGUGGGACUCGAUGAGGAUGCCCCGUGUGCUUUCUCCAGCACACGACCCGCCUCCAGGACUCGCUGGGGUCAGCAACAGCAGGGCAGUGUCAGCCUCAACCACUGCCUUGGGGUGGGUGGAUGCGUGUCUAGGUCACCUGGGAUGGGACCUGGGGAAGACGCCCAUUUGCAGAUGUCCUGGGUGAACAGCGGGAGGAGGAGGCCGUGCUUGCUGCCCCGGGCACUGUUUGUUCUCAGCCUCUCUCUCGACCUAGGCCAGAUCAGACACUGGGGCUUUGUAGUAUAUUUUAUAAAUCGCUUGUUACGUUGGCCUCGGAGCCUCAAAAAUAUAAUUUCCAACUGGUGGUGAACAUAUUCAGCUUUUGCUGUUUAUAAAAUGCCUAUCAUUGGACUC